CUAGCUAGAGUUUAAGAUUUUGCCGAAGCAAGAAGUAUUGCUCUUCCACCUUUGAAAUAGGUCAACAUUGCACUGCGAUCAGGAAGGUGCUCUUUGAUUGUGGGGAUGUCCUUGAACCGUUGAAUCCAGGCAUGCAAGCGAGGGAAGGUUUCGGCUUCAAUCCCCUUCACCCCAGCUAGUUCACUCAUGACAUCCAUCCACCAAGCUAGCCACCCGAAUUCCAAAUCAGCCAUUCCAAGCUCAUCUCCUCCGAAAAACUUCUUGUCUCCGAGUCCCUGCUCUUCCAAGAUUGUCAGCUGCUCUUGCCUUUCUUUUGUUGCUUUCACUUGCUGUUCUCCCUCAGUCAUGAAAAAUCCAAACAGGGCUCCGAACUAUGUGACAUGCACAAAACAUCUACAUUACUUCGACUUGAAUAUAAUGCGCGCGAUCUUUUAUUUAUGUUAUGUCGUUAGACCGUCAGUUGUCAACUCGUUAUAUAAACAAACAUGCAUACUUGCAUGCGACUACAAACUACUCAUUUCAUCAUGUAACGUAAUUGAAAUAGUAGUGAUCAUCAAUUACCUUGUCCUCUCCGAACUUUAUCCAGAACCGGGCCAAAGCUCGUUGAUGAGGGUCUUUAGGAAGCAAGGGGUUCUGCGGCCAUGUCUCUUCGAUGUACUCAAGUAUUACAGCAGACUCUGCGAUUGGUUUUCCGGCAUGAACAAGAACGGGAACCUUCUUAUGGACUGGGUUGUACUUCAGAAGACGAUCACUCUUGUUGUGUAACACAUCCUCUUCAACAUACUCGUAGUCUACACCCUUGAGUUUAAGUGCCCAGAUAACCCUGUAAACAUAUGGACUCGACCAAGCUCCUAACACUGUAACUUGUGACAUUUUUGCUGGUUCUGUUAUGAUCCUAGACUGGUUUCUACAUGACUAUAUAUGCCUCGCAUUCAAUUUGGUUACCUUGUGCUUCAAUUAAUCUACAUGGUCGGGAAGGAUUAGAGGCCAAUUUGUCCUUCUUUUGCUAUUGUUUACUCUACUUUUAAAUAUGUAGUUGGUAUAAAAGAGAUAAGAUAUCAUUUUCGCCAAGUUUCUCUUUUAUUUGAGGACCAUAUUUCUCUGGAAAAUACAAAAGACUUGUCAAGCAAGUCAUACUAGACCCUUAAUCUUCCUAAAGUUGACCAGAGUUUGGACUACAUACUUAUAAAAUACAACGAACCCAAUCCUUACGUUGAGGGCAGCUGUUGGUUGUUGUGAAAAGGGAAAGAGACACAUUGUUUACAUAAAUGUAAGAAGUGAUGAAGCUGCUAGGAUUAGGAAUAUGGCUUCUAGUCUCUUACGUUACAAGAGUCAGUGGAUCUAGAAACUUGUUAACAAAGAUCAAAGUCUCUUCCUUUAAACUAUAAUAUAAGGAUUAAAAUCUCUGUGAUAUAUUUGAUAUAUCCUCCGAUAUCUCUAUUUUUUUAAGGACCGAUAUAUCUAGAGUGGUAAAUAUAUUAUCUUCCACUGUAUCUUCCAUAUAUCUAGAGGUGUUGUUCUUAGCGAUUUUAUCAAAGACCACUUUGGGUUUCUUGUUGAUUUUUUAAAUCCUAACCCUUAAACCCUAUACCCUAAACCUAUACCCUAACUAUAUAUAUAUCCUAUACCCUAACUAUAUAUCCUAUAUCCUGUACCCUAAACCCUGUACCCUAAACCCUAGGCCAAACUCAUUAAAAACCCAAGACGGUAAUUUCACAAAACAUAGAAAAACUUAGUUUAUAUUUUAGUUGUAAUAAAUUUACGUGUCAAAAUUUAAUUGACAAGAGAGGACCACGUCAGACUGCCACUUGGUCCUUUGGGAGCAUUUAAAAAUUUCUCCUAAUUGAGUUGAUUGGUUGAGGUGAUUGAUCAAAAGUAUAAAUGAUAUACAAAUCAAGGAUAUAUGUGAUUCUAUAUUAAUUGGUUUCCUUUAUGGGAGGAUUCCAUACUAAUUAGUUGAAUCCUAUAUAAACCUGGUCCCUAUACAGUCUAUCCACCAGUUGCUAAAAGUCUAGUCCUAGAUAUAGAAUAGAGUGUUGUGUACAAGAUCGGAGUUUGGAAUAUCAAUGGCUUCUAAUUCAGGUUUGUUAAUUGAAUUCCCUUAAGAACUCUAGUUAGUGUAUUUGCUUAGUUGUGUUUGUUUUGUUUGAUUCUAUAGUAUUUAUUUAUCUUGUGUGUUGAGUUUCUUGUGAUCAAUGGAUCGAGGCUAACACAUCUGACCAAUCAAGUUUAAUUGUUUAAACAAUAUUUGAAGACGAUCCAAGUCAUCCGACUCUCUCUCUCUCUNNNNNNNNNNNNNNNNNNNNUCUCUCUCUCUCUCUCUCUCNCUCUCUUCUCUCUCUCUCUCUCUCUCUCUCUCUCUCUCUCUCUCUCUCUCUCUCUCUCAUAGAAUGGCCAAUGUUCUAUUGUUCUUGAAAAUGUGAUGUAAAUUGAUUCAGUUUCAUACAUACAAACAUAUAUUUAUGCCAUAAGUCCAUCGAUCAAAAAAAGUGUUUUAUUCAAGCAAGUUCUUAGAGUUAUAGUUGGAUAGGAAGAUUACAGAUACAAGCGUACAUCAGCUUAAUUAAUAGCUAAUAUUAUUGUUCGAAAAGUAGAAAGCUCGAUCAACAGAAGGAGGUUGUAGCUAGCUAUAGUUUAAGGUUUUGCAGAAGCAAGAAAUAUUGCUCUUCGACCUUUGAAAUAGGUCAACAUUGCACUGCGAUCAGGAAGGGGCUCUUUGAUUGUGGGGAUGUCCUUGAACCGUUGAAUCCAGGCAUGCAAGCGAGGGAAGGUUUCGGCUUCAAUCCCCUUAACCCCAGCUAGUUCACUAAUGACAUCCAUCCACCAAGCUAGCCACCCGAAUUCCAAAUCAGCCAUUCCAAUCUCGUCACCACCGAAAAACUUCUUGUCUCCGAGGCCCUGCUCUUCCAAGAUUCUCAGCUGCUCUUGCCUUUCUUUUGUUGCUUUCACUUGCUGUUCUCCCUCAGUCAUGAAAAAUCCAAACAGGGCUCCUAACUAUGUGACAUGCACAAAAUAUCUACAUUACUUCGAUUUGAAUAAAAUGCGCGCGAUCUUUUAUUUAUGUUUUGUCGCUAGACCGUCAGUUGUCAACUCGUUAUAUAAACAAACAUGCAUACUUGCAUGCGACUACAGACUACUCAUUUCAUCAUGUAACGUAAUUGAAAUAGUACGUUGAGUGAUCAUCAAUUACCUUGUCCUCUCCGAACUUUGUCCAGAACCGCGCCAAAGCUCGUUGAUGGGGGUCCUUAGGAAGCAAGGGGUUCUGCGGCCAUGUUUCUUCGAUGUACUCAAGUAUGACAGCAGACUCUGCGAUUGGUUUUCCGGCAUGAACAAGAACGGGAACCUUCUUAUGGACUGGGUUGUACUUCAGAAGACGGUCACUCUUGUUGUGUAACACAUCCUCCUCUACAUACUCAUAGUCUACACCCUUGAGUUUAAGCGCCCAGAUAACCCUGUAAACAAAUGGACUAGGCCAGAAUCCUAACACUGUAACUUGUGACAUUUUUGCUGGUUCCGUUAUGAUCCUAGACUGGUUUCUACAUGUAUAUAUAUGCCUCGCAUUCAACUUGGUUAUCUUGUGCUUCAAUUAAUCUACAUGGUCGGGAAGGAUUAGAGGCCAAUUUGUCCUUCUUUCGCUAUUGGUUACUCUACUUUAAAUAUGUGGUUGGUAUAAAAGAGAUAAGAUAUCGUUUUAAAUACAAAAGACUUGUCAAGCAAGUCAUACUAGACCAUUCAUCUUCCUAAAGUUGACAAGAGUUUAGACUACAUAUAAAAUACAACGAAGCCAAUCCUUACGUUGAGGGCAGCUGUUGGUUGUGAAAAGGGAAAGAGACACAUUGCUUACAGAAAUGUAAGAAGUGAUGAAGCUGCUAGGAUUACAAGAGUCACUGGAUCUAGAAACUAGGGGUCAAGUAUAUGUGAAUCGAAAGAGAAACUUGUUUAGAAGAUCAAAGUCUUCCUGUAAAGUAUAACAUGCUUCGCAAGAAGAUUUUGGUGCUCGUUCGAGGAGCUUAAUUGCUCACUAAAUCCAGAGCUAUACUAAUGAUCAUAUAAUAUCCUCCACCAAAUGAGGGAUGUAAAAACUAUUCUUGUGUUUAAAAAUACUAGCAUCUUACUCCUGCAUUUACACAAGGGAACUCACAAAAUCACUAUAAAUGGUUAAUUUUGGUUUGUAGGCUUGGUUUUUGACGUUGGAAUUACAUACUGCUACCUUAAAUAGUUGCAUAAUACACAAAACCUAUAUUUUAAAAUAUUUAAACAAAUAAUGCCAGAAGCCCAAGCUCGUAAAGAAUAGUAUCAGGCUUGAUCUGUAACGUUGAUGUGAAAAUGACUGAAAACCCGUGUUUUAUGAAAUAACUACAACAUUGACAUUGACAGAAACCAAAACCGUUCUCUCUCUCUCUCUGAUCCCUAAAAUCGUCGAUAUCUUUCUCACCAUUCCAAAACCAAGUGCUAUUGUUUGGUCACAAUAUUUCCAAAACCAUGUUGUAUCAUCACAAUAUUACUCCUUACAAGACCAAACAAGAGGAGCUGAACCAAGUUGAAGCAAGGAAUCGAGUCAAUCGGGUCACGGAUUGAGUGGCAGCGAAUCGGGUUGGCUGGGUUUGGGAUUAGAGAUUGAGUAGUAGUGGUAGUGAUUCGAUUUGGGAAUUUGUAAUUUAGAUCUCAACAGACCUUAUAAUCAGAAACAGAGAAGUAUGUAAAUGGCGAGGAGCUUGACGACUUAGAAAGGGGUGGUGGUAGAGUAGUCGGUCUCGUUGAUGAUGAGUUUGUAGCUUUUGAGGGUUAUGUUCAGAUCUUACUGCUACUGAUGCCAUGACGAUCAUGUCAUGCUGCUACUGUUGUAGAUUUCAGGUUUUGCUGCUACUGCUGCCAUGACUAUUAGGUUAUGUUGCUACUGUUGUAGAUUUUACUACUACUGCUACUUAUGGUCAGGUCUUGCUGCUACUGUUGUCGGUGUUUAAUUUGGGUUUCUUAUUGAAUUUGAAGUUGCAGAUGAAUAUGAUGUGGGUUGCUUAAAAAUCUGAAACUAGUGGACGAGAGAUUUGACUUGGGUGAUUUGUCAAGGUUUGUGUUAGUAACGUGAAAGUUGAUAAGUCUUAGAGCAAGUCCACCGGUGACAAAAAAAAUCCGACCCAGGUUGGAUCACAUAGACAAAGUGACACAGCCUAAAAAUAGUUGCUUCCACCCAUGAAAAUUUUGGGGCGAGUAUUGUAACCCAGGUGAGUUUGGGUUAAAUUUUAUGCGAGUAUAGUAACCCAAAAUCUAACCCAGGCUAAUUAAUUCCUCAACCGCCACAUCAGCAAAAGAGCCCAACGUGGCUGACGUUAGACAGGGCCAUUCUCUUUCUCUCUCUACUUCUUUACUCGCCAGUGGCUCGUGUGAAGAGCAGUGGCUCAUAUAUAUAUAUGCCGCAUGACCACGUGAGGAGCACUGCUCAUGGAGAAGACAUACAAUGUAGCUGGGACCCAUUAGAUAUUAUUAAAUGUAAAAAUGUAAAAAUAUCAAGUAAAACCAUUAAUUACAAAAAAAAAAAAAUACGUAAAAACUAGGGUUACAUCAAUUAGAAAAAAAAAAAUUCUAUAAGAUGUAAACUACAGGAAAACUAUAUAAACUGUUAUGAAAAAUUCCCUAGCGUUUAUAAAUAAUUUCUUAUAUCCCUAGCUAACCAAUUUAGAUUGUGUAUUUUUUUUAUUAUGUUUGUGUUUUCAUCCUUACAAAAUUUCAAAUAAUUGUAAACUUUUUUAGGCUUGGCUUGUCAAUUAAAUGUCAAGAAAUAAAAAAAAUUCAAUAAGUCAUAUUUUUUUAUGUAAUUACUAUUUAUUUACAACUAAAAUAAUUAUUCACACUUAAAAACGUUUUUUUAAAAUUCAAUAAACAGUCACUGUCACGUGUCAGCAAUCCCACAUUUUAAACGGGUGGAAACUGCUGCCCAAUCAUAGUGACUCAGAGUGACCCAGGUCACUGUGUUCAAUAUAACUCAACGGGUGAACUUGCUUUUAGUAGCUUAUAGUUGUUGAAAAAUAUAUACAACUAACAGAGCAAUAGCUUAGCUAAAUAAGAGUAGUAGUAAGUUUUUACUUGUAUCAUGAGAUGUGAGCAUAAAAACUAGCAUAGAAGAAGCACAACUAAUAUUCAUCUCAUCUACCUUUUCAUAGUAGCAUAGUAACAUUCAGUAAUAGUAGUAGCAACACAAUAACAUUCGGUAACAACAGUAUCAGAAACAUUUCAAUCGACAAUAACAACAACAAUAUUCCAGUAGACAAUAACAAGAACAUUGCAAUAAACAGUAGCAUCAACAUUCUAACAAGUGUAGUAGCAUCUAAAGCAAGACAUGAUGUGGUCUGAUUUAAUUUGAUUUUUAUUAGAAAAGACAAAAAGGACAAGAUUUAAUCUUUAAACAUAAAUUUGAUAGUUGAAACAUGAGUCACAUAUUUUAUCAAGUGUUUCAGAGAUCAACAGAAGAGAUUUCUUUACUCAUAUGACCAAUUAAUUUAAACUAUAUUUUAGACAAUUCGACUUGUUUUAAGUUAUUUAUCUCUCUCUCUCUCUCUCAUCUUGAAGGAAUGGCCAAUUAAUGUUCUUGAAAAUUUGAUGUAUAUUGAAUAAUUGAUUCUGUUUCAAACAUAUAUCUAUGCCAUAAGUCCAUAAAAAUAAGUGUUUUAUUUAAUCAAGUUCUUCGAGUUAUAGUUGGAUAAGAAAAUUAAAGAUACAAGCGUACAUCAGCUAAUAGAUAAUAUAAUUGUUCGAAAAGUAGAAAGCAAGCAGGAGAUUUUAGCUAUAGCUAGAGUUUAAGAUUUUGCCAAAGCAAGAAAUGUUGCUCUUCGACCUUUGAAAUAGGUCAACAUUGCACUGCGAUCAGGAAGGGGCUCUUUGAUUGCAGAGAUGUCCUUGAACCUUUGAAUCCAGGCAUGCAAGCGAGGGAAGCUUUCGGCAUCAAUCACUUUAACUCCAGCUAUUUCACUCAUGACAUCCAGCCACCAAGCUAGCCACCCGAAUUCUAAAUCAGCCAUUCCAAUCUCAUCUCCUCCAAAAAACUUUUUUUCGCCGAGUCCCUGCUCUUCCAGGAUUCGCAGCUGCUCCUGUCCUUCUUUCGUUGCUUUCUCUUGUUGUUCUCCCUCAGUCAUGAAAAAUCCAAACAGGGCUGCGCUCUAUGUCACAUAAUACAUCUACAUUAGUUAAAGUCGUGUAAAAUUUGAUCUUUCAUGUUAUAUUGUUAGACGGUCAAGUAUUCAAGUGUCAAACUGUAGCUAAUUAGAGAAACAUAUACACGCGAUAAAUAGUUCAUGUUUGAUUAGUCGUGGUCUAUUGGUUUAUUAUUGGUUUAUUAGUCUAACAAACCGUAACAUAUGGUUGGUGAAGGUAAGGAAUUUUAAUAAAAUUUGAAAAAAUUAAAAAAUGCGACAAAUGAUUCAUUUGGCUAUAUAACGUAGUGAAAAUAGUCGAGUGACCAUUAAUUACCUUGUCCUCUCCGAACUUUAUCCAGAACCGGGCCAAAGCUCGUUGAUGAGGGUCUUUAGGAAGCAAGGGGUUCUGCGGCCAUGUCUCUUCGAUGUACUCAAGUAUUACAGCAGACUCUGCGAUUGGUUUUCCGGCAUGAACAAGAACCGGAACCUUCUUAUGGACUGGGUUGUACUUCAGAAGACGAUCACUCUUGUUGUGUAACACAUCCUCUUCAACAUACUCGUAGUCUACACCCUUGAGUUUAAGUGCCCAGAUAACCCUGUAAACAUAUGGACUAGGCCAAGCUCCUAACACUGUAACUUGUGACAUUUUUGCUGGUUCUGUUAUGAUCCUAGACUGGUUUCUACAUGUCUAUAUAUAUGCCUCGAUCCAACUGGGUUAUCUUGGGCAUCAAUCUACAUGAUUUCGAAGGACUAGAGGCCAAUUUGUCCUUUGUUUGCUAUAGUUGACUACUUUUUCAUAUGAAGUUGGCAUAAGAGAUGAGAAAAACAAGACUUGCCAAGCAAGUCAUACUAGACCAUUAAUCUUCCUAAAGUUGACCAGAAGUUUGGACUACAUACUUAUAAAAUACAACGAACCCAAUCCUUACGUUGAGGGCAGCUGUUGGUUGUUGUGAAAAGGGAAAGAGACGCAUUGCUUAAGAAAUGGAAGAACUGAAGAAGUGAUGAAGCUGCUAGGAUUAGGAACAUGGCUUCUAGUCUCUUACGUUCCAAGAGUCAUUGGAUCUAGAAACCAGGGGUUAGGUAUAUGUGAAUCGAAAGAUAACCUUGUUACAAGAUCAAAGUCUCUUCCUUUAAAGUAUAACAUGCUUCAUAAGAAGAUUUUGGUGCUCAUUCGAGGAGCUUAAUUGCUCACUAAAUCCAGAGCUAUACUAAUGAUCAUAUAAUAUCCUCCACUAAAUGAGGGAUGUAACAGCUAUUCUUGUGUUUAAAAAUACUAGCAUCUUACUCGUGCAUUUAUAUUUUGUGAGUUUUUCCCUUACAUUUUUUUUAAUGACCUCUUAAAUAAAUAAAAUAAAAUAUAACGUUGAAAUUUAUUAUGAAUGUAGUUAUCAAUUUUAACCUCCCACUACCCACGUGUUGGGAGAUUGGCCUCGUUUUGUUAUAGUGUUGUGUUGGGAGCAAAAAUGUCAAUCUUAACUUUCCUGUAAACAAAUGGACUUAGGCCAAGCUCCCAACACUGUAACUUGUGUCAUUUUUGCUGGUUCCGUUAUGAUCCUAGACUGGUUUCUACAUGUAUAUAUAUGCCUCGCAUUCAACUUGGUUAUCUUGUGCUUCAAUCUGCUUGGUUUGGAAGGAUUAGAGGCCAAUUUGUCCUUUGUUUGCUAUUUUUUUUGUUCCGAUGAAUCCUGCCUUUGCUAUUGUUGACUCAACUUUUCAUAUUUAGUGGGUAUACAGAGAUAAAAUAUCGGUUUGCGCACCAAAUUUCGCUAUAUUCGAAGAUCGUGUUUCUCUAAACCAAAAAAAAAAAAACCUUGUCAAACAAGUCAUACUAGACCAUUAUCUUCCUAAAGUUGACAAGAAAUUUUGACUACAUAUCUAUAAAAUACAGCAGAUGUUGAAGAGGGAAAGAGACACGCAUCGGUUACAGAAAUGGAAGAAGGGAUGAAGAAGCUAGGAACAUGGCCUAGUCCCUUUCGUUACAAGAGUCAUGGGAUCUAAAACUAGGUGUUAAGUAAUGAAUAUGUGAAAGAGAACUUUGUUAACAAAAUCACUCUUCCUUUUAAGUAUAACCUGCUUCAUAAGAAGAUUCUGAUGCACAUUAGAGGAGCUUAAUUUCCCUUAAAUCCAGAGACUUUGAAAUGAUCAUAUAGUUCUUCUAGUAUGCUCCACCAAAUGAAGGAUGUAACAGCUAUAUAUCCUUGUGUUUAAACAUAUAGAUUUGAGCUACUAUCUUUAUUCAAAACCAGUUCCAUGUAUACAACAGAACCAAUUGUAAGAGGUUUCUGAAAAUUAAAGGCAAAGAAUAAAUUCAAAGCCAAAAGCUGGGAAAGUUACUUGGCAGGUAGUGUAAGUGUAUGCUAUAGUUACAAAGGCUCAGAUUGUACCUUGAGACAUAAUUUGCUAAAAGAGGAGGGAAGUUUGUACAGGACAUCUUCGCAUCUCAGAUGUAAAGCCUUUGCACAUGAAUAUGCAUGAAGCAAUGAACUGUUUCUAAAAAAACUUCCUUAAUUUGAAUCAUAGAACAUCAAAGAAUGACAAAAGACUGGCACAGAAACAGGAGAUUGUACGUGGGAUCGUCAAACAGACAAUAUUAAACCAAGAUAAACCUUAGAACUCCUACUCCUGGUUGAACAAGAAUUAAGUCACUAGUCCCCCAAGAGGAACAUAGAUUCUGGUGAAUACAUUGAGGUGUGCCAUAGAAUACCUCUGCUUUUGGGAUGACCCUUAUGAAGGCAAGGUAAAAUUAUGUCAUGUUGUAAUUUGACUAAUUUCUGUAAUAAUCUUAUUCUGUGUUUUAUCAUAAUAGGAUCUGAAAGUUUACUCUUUGAUGGAUGUACAGGGGGGAACACAAUGGAGGUUGUACAGGUACAGUUUCUUGCAUUGAUGGCUUCUUGCAUCACAUAAUUUCUUACCAAAACAUUCCUAGUUAAAAUGGAGUGGAGGCUUGGAAUCAACUCCAUGUAAGAACUUACAUCAAUCAGUGGACAUGCAAAAAACACUAAUAUGCAUUACAAAGAACUUCUCUUAUUCAGUCACAACUGUAAUCGAUUGAUUGAAACUAUUAACUGAUAUCAUUCCUUGCUUCUUGCUUAUUGGUUAUGUUACAACCUUUAUUCUUAUAUGCUAAAUGUGCUGUGUUGUUUGAAAUUAAGACUAGGAUAUCAACUAGUUGCUGGCUUGAUAAACUUCUCCCUCAGCUGUUUGAAAUAGGCUACCAGCCGAGUUUUGUCAGGGUGAUUUUCUUUGAUCACAGGAACUUCCUUGAAAUUUCUAAUCCAUGCGUGCAAGCGAGGGAAGUUAUCGGCUUCCAGAACUUGUACACCAGCUGCUUCUUCCAUGGCCUCAAGCCAGAAUGCUAGCAAUCCCAUGGAUAAGUCUGUCAUUUCAAUCUUGUCACCAUUAAAGAACUUCUUCUCAUCAUCAAGGCCGUGCUCUUCUAAGAUCUUCAGACACUCCUGGGCUUCUUUCACAGCUUUUGUUUGCUCUUCUCCAGCUCUUUUAUAGAAUCCGUAAAUGUUCGGCAUCUAAAUUGCACAAAAUAGCAGAUCAGUUAAGGGUCAACAUUCUACUUGUGUUGAACUGUUGAUAGAAAAUCUCAAGAAAGAAAAUACAGGUAUGAUUACCUUGUCAUCUCCAAACUUUGUCCAGAAUCUAGCGAUGGCCCUUGCAUGAGGGUCUGUUGGAAGCAGAGGAUUCUGCAGCCAUGUCUCUUCAAUGUACUCCAGAAUGACAGUCGACUCAGCAAUCAGCUUUCCACCAUGAACAACUACUGGAACCUUCUUGUGCACUGGGUUGUAUUGAAGAAGCAAAUCACUCUUGUUGAAUAUGUCCUCUUCUUGAUAUUCAUAUUCAACUCCCUUGAGUUUCAGAGCCCAUGUGACCCUGUAAACAUAUGGACUUGCCCAGAAUCCUAUUACCUUCACUUCCUCCAUAUUACUCUAGUUUCUGCUCAUCUUAGUCUCUACCACAUAUUAUAUAGUAUUAUAGUUGAAGCCUUAAUAUCUAUGUAAUUCUAUUCUCCACGCCAUCGUUAUUCAGCAGAUAAGAUUAGGUGAGGAAAAUAUUGUUAUAUAUCGUCUUGUCUGACCCAUUAAUUCUAAUAAAAUUGAUACUUGAAACUUGACUCACAUAUUUUAUGAAGUGCUUCAGAGAUCAACAUAAAGAGAUUUCUUUACUCGUAUGACUAAUCAAGUUUAAACAAUAGUUCAGACAAUCCGACUUGUUUAAGUUUAGAGUAAAAUAUUGUAUAGUCUUUCUGGUUGAAGUCAACAUCUAUUUAGUCCUUAUAGUUUUAUUUUAAUCUGAAUAGUCCUUAAAAUCACAAUUUUUCAUCUAAAUAGUCUUUAUGGUUUUAUUUUACUCUGAAUAGUCCUUAAAGUCAUGAUUUUUCCUCCAAAUAGUCAUUUUAGGUAGCCUAACUGACAACGUUGAGGUCAUGGGUUCAAACCUCGCUGACAUAUGUAAGGGUGUGUGAGUUAUUUAAUAAAAAGUUUUAUUUAAUAAAAAAAAAAGGAAACUAUUCAGAUUAAAAUAAAACCACAAGGACUAAACAGAUGUCAACUUCAAACCACAAGGCCUAAACAAAUUUUAAUUCUUAAAUUUAUCUCUCUCCUUGAAGGAAUGGCCAAUGUUCUUGAAAAUUGGAUGUAAAUUGAGUUGUUGAUUCUGUUUCAUACAUACAACCAUAUAUCUAUGCCAUAUGUUCAUCAAAAUAAGUGUUUUAUUCAAGCCAGUUCUUAGAGUUAUAGUUGGAUAAGAAAUUACAAAUACAAGCGUAGAUUAGCUAAUAGCUAAUAUUAUUGUUCGAACAGUAGAAAGCUUGAUCAGAAGAAGGAGGUUUUAGCUAGCUAGUAGUUUUUUUUUUUUUUUUUUUCGUUUGAAUGAUCGAGGAUAGACGAAUAAAUUGCCUAUCACUCUAUUUUAUUAAUAAAGGAAAAAAGAAACAAAGGAGGAGAAUGAAAACCAAAACCUCCCAAAACAAAUUACAGACUAGCUGAAACGAAAUUGAAGCAUACCUCUAACAUCAUUAUUAUAAGACAAUAAUAUGAAAGGUGGAGGCUCAUCCCGCCAUAUCAAUUCAGAACAUGACGUAUCUUGAUUUGCCAGAGCAUCAGCUAUUUUAUUUCUUUCAUGAAAAAUAUGAGUAGCCUUGAAAUUCAUCUGAGAGAUUCGGUAUAAGCAAUUCAACCAUCGAAUUCGAAGAGGCCAAGGAACAAGAGAAAGUCUGCGAAUAUAAUCAAGUACCAAAGAUGAGUCAACUUCCAACCAAAUAUGUUUCCAAUCAUGAACCUAAACAAGCUCAAUAGCUUUAAUAACAGUCAUUAUCUCUGCUGAAAUUGAACUAGGAAUUUCAAGAUUUGAGGCAAAAGCACUAAGAAAGUGGCCCUUGUAAUCCCUAAAAAUAAUACCAUAACCACCCACUCCCUUCUCAUGCUUCCAAGAGCCAUCAGAAUUUAUCUUCACCCAACCAAAAGAAGGAGGAAGCCAAUUAACUUCAACAACUCUAGGAGUGGCACAAGGACGACAUGGGGCUCCAAAACAUUUCAAAAUUCGUAGCUCCUCGACACUAUUAUGCAUAUGACCUGUUGUAAGAUCACUAGUGGCUCUUAUAUGACCUGAUAUUAGCCUACAAACAGCUUCAAUUGAAAAGCGACAACCAUCAAAUCUGGUUUUAUUUCUUACAUGCCAAACAAACCACAAAAUGGAGGUAAAGCAAAUAAGCCAUAGUUCCAUUAAUUGAGGACUUCUUCCAUUUUGCAAACCCAACCUAUAAAGCUCCAAAAUAGAAGAAGGAAUCAUACCCAACUCAAAAAGGGAGCCAAAGUGACUCCAAAUUGAUGCAGUGAACGAGCAACAGAGGAAAGUAUGAUUCAUACCCAAAAUAGAAGAAGGAAUCAUACCCAACUCAAAAAGGGAGCCAAAGUGACUCCAAAUUGAUGCAGUGAACAAGCAAGAGAGGAAAGUAUGAUCCAAAGUCUCAAAGCAAGCACCAUAAAGCUCACAUCUAGAAACCCAAGCUAUACCUCGACGCUGAAGUAAAUCAUCACAAAUAACUCUACCUCUUAACACCUUCCAUGCCAGGAAAGACAUUCUUGGCAGAAUAUAUUAGCUCAUAAUCUCUUACCCCAAAUUACUGGAUUAGAAGAAGGCUGCAUAAAAGUAUAGGCUUGUUUAGCGGUUAACUCACUGAAGGCUAAAGAGGUCCAUAUAAGUUUGUCAUUAACUUAAGGAUCUUCUAACACAGGGACUUGAUUGAUCAUAUCACAUAAGGCUGGGUAGUGCAACUGUAGUAAUGGAGGAAGAUUUCAUGAGCCAUUGUCUAUAUAUUUCGACACCAAAUCUGAGUUAUCCUGCAUCAACACAUUAGAACCAAAGAACUCAUUAAUUGGCCUGCCCAUAAACUUGUCGUGCCAAAAGUAGAUUCCAUUCCCAUAACCAAUUAACCAUUGUGAAUUAUCUUGAACCGUCUUCCAGAAUUGAUGAACACUAGGCCAUAUAGAAAAAGGAGCAUAAGAUUUCUGUCUAGAGAAACGACUGCGAAUAAAAGCACAACCCUCAGAUUGAGCUGUAUAUAUUUCCCAGCAACGUUUCAAUAAGAGAGAUCGAUUAAGCAGAACUAAUUGUUUGAGCCCUAAGCCACCUUCUUCAAUUGGGGAACAACAAGUCUUCCAAGCCACAAGAGGGAUCCCUCUUUUAUCAAUUGAGCCAGACCACAGAAAGUUUCGGCACCAAACCUCAAUUUUCCAUACCACAGACACAGGCCAUUCAUAUACUUGAAAAGUGUAUACCAACAUGCUAAAAAUAACAGACUUGAUAAGCUGCAAAUGUCCUGCCAUUGACAAAAAAGAACUCACCCAACUUGAUAACUUUAUCCUUAUUUUGUCAACAAUUUGAUUGAAAUAAGAAGCACGAGGAUUGCCAUGAAAAAUAGGGGCACCCAUAUACAUGAACGGAGCAGACCCCAAGGGAAUACCCAAGAAGUUUGAAAUAGAAUGCCGCCUUGAAUGUAUACUUUUUCCGAAAAAAACUUGAGACUUUUCUUUGUUGAUAACUUGACCUGAAACACUACCAUAUUCAUUGAAGAAUCUCAUAAUCCGCGAUAAAUUCUGCUUAUUACCCCGACAAAAAACAAUAACAUCAUCUGCAAAUAGAACAUAAGAUGGAGCAAGAGUAUUUCGCGGAGAAGAGAUACGCUGCAGUUGACCCGAUGAAACAAGUAAAAAGAUCCCACGACUAAGGACCUCUUCUGCUAAGCAAAAGAGCAAGGGAGAAAGGGGGUCACCUUUGACGCACACCCCUUUCACAAGAAAAAUACCCAAUAGUCCUCUCAUUGAUCAACAGAGAAAGUUUGGCUGACAGAAGCAAGGCACGCACCCAUUGUACAAAGAUCAGAUCAAACCCAAAAGCAUGAAGAACAUGAAGAAGAAAAUCCCAUGACAGAGUAUCAAACGCCUUUGUAAUAUCAACCUUAAUUGCAAGGUUACCUCCAUGACAUAUUGAGUUCAACAAAUUAAAGCACUCUGAUGUAGUUAAUAUAAAGUCUGAUAUGUUCCUCCCUGCAACAAAAGCAUGUUGUUGAGGAGAAAUAAUACGUGAUGCCACAGAUGCCAACCGGAUAGCUAUGAUCUUUGGGAUAAUUUUAAACACAAAGUUGGUGAGGACAAUAUGGCGAAACUGCUUUAUAGAGUCGGCAUGAUCAACUUUGAGGAUUAACAUGAUAAUACCUGAGUUAAAGGAAGGAGCCAAAUAACCAUGUUGAAAAAAAUACUGAACACCCUUAACAACAUCAGCACCAACAACCUCCCAGCAAGAGACGAAAAAAUGGCCAUUAAAUCCAUCCGGCCCCAGGGCACUAUCAGGAUCCAUUGAUUUGACAGCUGCCCAAAUUUCCUCUUGUAAUGGAACAAUUGUAAGCGUUGUAUUUUCCUCAUGAGUUACCAUAGAAUGAAUCACCUUGGACACCAAACCACUAUCUUCAUACUCUGCAUGUUUUGUAAAAAGAUUUUUAUAAUAAUCAAUUAUAUGAUUUUGGAUAGAAUGUGGAUCCUAAAGCACCUGAUCUCCAUCACGAAGCAGAGUAAUAGAAGAACGAUUUCAACGCACUUUACACAUAGCAUGAAAAUAAUUAAGAAGAAUUGCGAUCACCUUCUGACAACCAUUGCAACCUUGACUUCUCACGCCAAAGACUUUCCUGACGCCGAAUAGACUCAUUCAAAUUAGCCUGCAAUUCAGUCUCUUUUUCAAACUCUUCAUCUGAUCCCCCAGAAGCUGCAAUUUUAUUUUGAAUAUCAGCAAGGGCUGCAAGGUCAAACUCAACCCGACGAUGAACAUCCCCAAAGACCUCCCAGUAUUUUGCCGUGUUAAGAGUAUAUAUAGGCCCAGUUCACGUCUGAGACGGUCCAGUCCAUAUUCUUGUGCUUGGAGAACAAGUCGGUUUUGCACAGCUUGCAGAUAUAUACUCCACCGUUUCCAGUACCAAGUACUAACAAGUUAAUUGAUUUCUCUUCUUGUGUAAUAACCAGAAAAUAUCAAGUACUACUUUCUUUCUCUUCUUUUCUUUGUUUUAGAGAUUAGUUUAGCUUUCUUGUUCUUCAAUUAUCAAAUCAUGCCCAUGGUAGAUUUUCAGCAUGGUAUCAGAGCCAUGGCGGCCUGACCUGUUUUCGAUGUCCUUUCCUUCCUCUGCAAUCCUCUUCUACUUGUUACUUCUGCAUAUCAGAAACCCCCAAUUUUUCUUGAUCAAAACCGUAGCAACAUACCAGUUCUUAGAAUCAAGGUGUAUAAUUACCACUUCAGCAACAUUUAAGAACUUUAAAAUCGAGGAAACUUAUGAAGAAAUUAAGAAAUCGAGGUCUAAUUUCUUCUAAUUUUUCGCCGUAUGUAAUGCUGAAUUUAAUUACUUCUUAUAGUAAGUUAUACGAUAUACUAAGGGUUAUAUAAUUUACCAUAGAAGCAGGCCCGAACCUGAGAUUUUCAGGCAUGAGUCGAACUUUCAAAAUUAGGCCCUCAAAGUAUAGUAUUUAUACAAUUUUAUUUUCUCAUUUUAAGAAACACACAAAAAAUUCACGAACUAAAGUUAUAUAUAAACCAAAAUCUAACAACAAAAAACAUCUUAUUAAAAAUCUUAUUUAUGCAACAAAUCUCUUACUUAGGCUGCUAAUUUUUCUAAAAUAGUAAUUAAUGAUUGUAAUAAUGGGUAAGAUUUUAUAUUCAUUUUUCUCUUUUGUAAUCUUUUUGUUUUUUUUAAAGAAGGGUCGGUGCGGCUCUCUUUUGUAAUCUAACACCACCAUAAUUGGAUUUAUUAAUUAUUUUUUAUUGUUUUUAACUAAACUAAUGUAAUCACACAAAGAGAAAAGAAAAUUUUGGGCUCCUUAAGGUUAUGGCCCUGAGUCCAUCAACUCUUAAGACUCUAUUCAGGUACCGGUCUACAUAGAAGGGCUUGUUUUCUGUUGCAAAGAUCUAUAGUCUAUGCUGAAUUAAGUGUAACGCCUGGGAAUAGAGGCCAGGGAGACCAUUGGCACGUGGGACGCCACUGGCUUCUGAUGCAUCUUGCUUUGAAUUCAUAUGCAUGGGAGUCAAUCACCAUUUACCAAUUGGUCAAGGAGCCCUUGAAUCCCUGAGCACUCACAUGCCCAUGCCCUUGUUCUUGUACCUACAUAGUACUCUCACCUCACCUCUUGAUCAUAGUGACGAUUAUACUUGAGCUCCAAACCCAACGUACUUGCACUUCAAUUUUUUACCCCCUUUCUUCUAUUUUUUGUUCUGUUGCGUAUAUAUAUAUAUAGCCAUAUAGGUCUAAUUUCUUCUAAGUUUCCUCGAUUUGCAUUAGUUUCUUUAAUAGAUUUCAGAUUUCUGUAUAUACGUAUCAUUUAUGAAGUAAUUAAGUUCAGCAUUACAACAGAUAUAGAAUAGAGUGUUGUGUAGAAGAUCGGAGUUUGGAAUAUCAAUGGCUUCUAGUUCAGGUUUGUUGAAUUUCCUUAAGAACUUUAGUUAGUCUAUUUCCUUAGUUGUGUUUGUUUUGUUUGAUUCUAUAGUAUCUAUUUGUCUUGUGUGUUGAGUUCCUUGUGAUCAAUGGAUUGAGGCUAAGACAUAUGACCAAUCAAGUUUAAUUGUUUAAACAACAUUUGCAGACGAUCCGACUUGUUCUCUCUCUCUCAUAGAAUGGUCAAUGUUCUUGAAAAUGUGAUGUAAAUUGAUUCAGUUUCAUACAUACAAACAUAUAUUUAUGCCAUAAGUCCAUUGAUCUAAAAAAGUGUUUUAUUCAAGCAAGUUCUUAGAGUUAUAGUUGGAUAGGAAGAUUACAGAUACAAGCGUAUAUCAGCUUAAUAGCUAAUAUUAUUGUUUGAAAAGUAGAAAGCUCGAUCAACAGAAGGAGGGUUUUAGCUAGCUAGAGUUUAAGAUUUUGCCGAAGCAAGAAAUAUUGCUCUUCGACCUUUGAAAUAGGUCAACAUUGCACUGCGAUCAGGAAGGGGCUCUUUGAUUGUGGGGAUGUCCUUGAACCGUUGAAUCCAGGCAUGCAAGCGAGGGAAGGUUUCGGCUUCAAUCCCCUUAACCCCAGCUAGUUCACUCAUGACAUCCAUCCACCAAGCUAGCCACCCGAAUUCCAAAUCAGCCAUUCCAAUCUCAUCUCCUCCGAAAAACUUCUUGUCUCCGAG
rnacentral:lncRNA from 1 species